CGGCCCAGACUCCUACGGGAGGCAGCAGUGGGGAAUAUUGCACAAUGGGGGAAACCCUGAUGCAGCCAUGCCGCGUGUGUGAAGAAGGCCUUCGGGUUGUAAAGCACUUUCAGCGAGGAGGAAAGGGUGUAAGUUAAUACCUUACAUCUGUGACGUUACUCGCAGAAGAAGCACCGGCUAACUCCGUGCCAGCAGCCGCGGUAAUACGGAGGGUGCGAGCGUUAAUCGGAAUUACUGGGCGUAAAGCGUGCGCAGGCGGUUUGUUAAGCGAGAUGUGAAAGCCCCGGGCUCAACCUGGGAACCGCAUUUCGAACUGGCAAACUAGAGUCUUGUAGAGGGGGGUAGAAUUCCAGGUGUAGCGGUGAAAUGCGUAGAGAUCUGGAGGAAUACCGGUGGCGAAGGCGGCCCCCUGGACAAAGACUGACGCUCAGGCACGAAAGCGUGGGGAGCAAACAGGAUUAGAUACCCUGGUAGUCCACGCCGUAAACGAUGUCUACUCGGAGUUUGGUGUCUUGAACACUGGGCUCUCAAGCUAACGCAUUAAGUAGACCGCCUGGGGAGUACGGCCGCAAGGUUAAAACUCAAAUGAAUUGACGGGGGCCCGCACAAGCGGUGGAGCAUGUGGUUUAAUUCGAUGCAACGCGAAGAACCUUACCUACUCUUGACAUCCACAGAACUUUUCAGAGAUGAAUUGGUGCCUUCGGGAACUGUGAGACAGGUGC
rnacentral:rRNA from 1 species